GGGGGAGUCCCAGACUGAAAUAUAAUACCUUAAUCUUGCCUAAGUUGAUGUGGGCCUUUAACUGAAUCCUUUCCUAAAUGUUCCACCUUAUAACUGACCAUCAAAUGACCAUCAGCACCUUCCCUGCUAUCCAACAUCGUUCUUUUCCCCGCUCACACAGGUACAAGACCCAGCUAAUUCACAUACAGAAAUAUGCAGGACCCAAUAUGGCUUCCAUAAUUCCUAUUUAAGCCUAUUUUGGACCUCCCUGUCAUGUCUUUUAAGAAUUUUUC